UGUUUGCAGUGAAAUAGGAAAUGAAGGAGAAGCACAAUGCAAAAGAGAGAACCAAUAAGAGAGAGAGAGAGAAGUAGCAGCAGUACGGAGGGUUUACGGAGAAAGAAACUUGAGACAGUAACAUUACCUGUUACGCAACUGACAAGUCCAGACAGAGUCAAGAAAACAAAAAUAAGAGGAGCAAUGGGCAGGAGCCAGGAGAGGAACGAUGGGGGUUUGAAGAAGAAGAAAAGGAGAGAACACAAGUUAAGAUAGUAGAGUGAUUAGAUACUGUGACAAAAUAUGCAAAGAAAUGAAGCGUGGACCCAGAGUCAGGACGUUUCAGUUGGAAAAGAGCAGAAGAAAAGCCUAGGAUGUGACGGUAAACCAUCUUCAUGAUAGAGGGACAGAAUGAGGAGAUACAGGGAGCAAACUUGCACGUGCACAACGUGGUGUGGAGAUGGCUGAACUCACUGGAGCGGAGGAGAUGGACGGGAGCCGACGCAGAGUCAACAGAGCCAUGGCACAGUCUUCUCUCCUUUCAACCUGCGGUGGCUUGCAGGCUCAGACAGGCUCUGCAGGUUCCUCGGCCAAAAGUGUGCAGUGGGCAGUGGGCGUGGCGAAGGUGGUAUUUGAUCCUGAAAUAACAUGUGGAUAUUUGAUCGGCUUCAUACCAGAGACUCCUCAAGAAGAAUUGAAGGAUUUUAGUUGUCUGCUUCAGGAACUCCUGAGAAAUAGAUGAAUUGGGGUUUCCAAUUUGUACUACUGCAUUUUGAAAUCUCUAUGGAAUUGUUCUCGGGGCAAACAUUUUAUAAAAUCUGUCAAAUUGUUGUUGAUAUAUUUUGUCUUUAAUAGUUCUACUGUUUUUUUAUAUACUUAUUAUAUUUUAGGGGGGAAAAAGGUAGUCCCAUGUGCCCAAAAACUCAAUAUAGUAUAGAAAAAUGGCGGCAUCUCAGAAACCACAAAGAGAACAUUAAAGUUUCUAUGAAGUCAUAACAGAUUGAAUAUCAGGGAUAUGGUUAUAUUUGUCAAGUGCAAUAACUAUUUUACAUGGAAGACAAUUCAUAGACACACUGUUAGUGUUUGACUAUCACAAAUGUAAUUGAUUUUUUAUGUGAUCUAAAAACUUCAAAACGUUAUACCAACCAGAACAAGUGUUUCAUUUGUAUUCUAAAUAUAGCCAUUGCCACACCAGUAGAGGUAGGGUUAGGCGAUGUGAGAAUAAAGCAUGGGAUAAUCUUA